UACGUAGGGUGCGAGCGUUAAUCGGAAUUACUGGGCGUAAAGCGUGCGCAGGCGGUUUUGUAAGCCAGAUGUGAAAGCCCCGGGCUCAACCUGGGAAUGGCAUUUGGGACUGCAAGGCUGGAGUUUGGCAGAGGAGACUGGAAUUCCUGGUGUAGCAGUGAAAUGCGUAGAUAUCAGGAGGAAUACCGAUGGCGAAGGCAGGUCUCUGGGCUAUAACUGACGCUCAUGCACGAAAGCGUGGGAGCAACAGG
rnacentral:rRNA from 1 species